AGUCACUGACGUAGUUUGAUCCUGGCUCAGAGCGAACGCUAGCGGCGGGCUUAACACAUGCAAGUCGAACGCAUCUCUUCGGAGGUGAGUGGCGGACGGGUGAGUAACACGUAGGUUACCUGCCCUUUGGGUGGGGGAUAACUCCGGGGAAACCCGAGCUAAUACCGCAUAUGGCCUUCGGGUCAAAGCCUUCGGGCGCCAGAGGAUGGGCCUGCGUCCCAUUAUUUAAUCCUAGUUGGUGGGGUAACGGCCUACCAAGGGUACGAUGGGUAGCUGGUCUGAGAGGAUGAUCAGCCACACUGGGACUGAGACACGGCCCAGACUCCUACGGGAGGCAGCAGGUGGGGAAUAUUGCGCAAUGGGGGAAACCCUGACGCAGCCACGCCGCGUGAGUGAUGAAGGCCCUCGGGUCGUAAAGCUCUGUCGGGAGGGACGAAGUACUGACGGUACCUCCCAAGAAAGCACCGGCCAACUCCGUG
rnacentral:rRNA from 1 species